GGAGACCUUCGGUUUGCAAUUGCGUUAUUUGCUAGCAAAACAUAUUUUUCAAAUAUGGUAUUUGCAAUAAAAAUUGAAUUUAAAAUUCACAAGCAUGAGUUAUGCCUCAUAGUUUGGAAAAAAAAGUUUUAGAUUCACUCUUGUAAAAUUUUUAAGGCGAAUUAAAAAACUGACGGCAUGGCAUCACCUUAUGUCAUGAAUGAAAUUUUUAAGGCGAAUUAAAAACUGACGGCAUGGCAUCACCUUAUGUCAUGAAUGACAUUUUUAAUUAUUGGUUAAGUGCGCACACGUGCGCAGAUUAACCCCGGCAGCAGAAAAAGACUUCCUGGCAAGAUCGCAUGAAGAAAUCAAGAAGGAAGUAUCUGGAGGCCCCGGCGAGAAAAACUUGAUGUGUUGUCCCCUGUUUGCUGGCAGCAGAAAAGACUCGUGCGCAUGCUCUUCUUGCUUUCACCCUUGGUGUGAAACAACUGAUCGUUGGUGUCAACAAGAUGGAUUCGUCUAAACCACCAUACAGUGAGACUUGUUAUGGGGAAGUCAAGAAGGAAGUAUCCUCAUCCACCAAGAAGCUCGGUUACAAUCCAGCUGCUGUUGCAGUCGAACAAAUACGAAUUAUAAUUGGUUCCCUUAUUGAAUUUUAUUCGUACCAAUCGCUGGCUUGGCAUGGUGAUAACAUGCUGGAAGCAUCCACCAACACGCCAUGGCUCAAGGGAUGGAAGGCUGAACGUAAGGAAGACAAUGCUGAAGGUAAGACACUUGCAGUGUUAAGUCUUCGUAAUGUAUCUGUGUAAUGUUGCUAAGAUGUAAUGUAACUCGUCGUACGUAAUACUUAAUGUUAAUAGCUAAUGAUCAAGCUGCAUUUUUUCGUAUUAUUAAAAUUAGAAGAGUCUUAUUAUGCUUAUUAUAAUGAUAUAAAAGAUAAUUAUUUGAAUGGUGCCGACGCAUUUAUUGUAAUGUUGGCACUUUUAUACCCAAACAUACGUAUUUACGCUCUUCCAGUUGCUGAACCCAAGUGCAAGUAUUGCUAUUAAAAGGUGAAACAAUAUAGCAUGAGAAAGUACAUAACUAAAUAUUUAACAUUUUGACCGAUUACAAUUAAAUUGAAUAAAAAUUACGAAAAAAAACUAUUAAUUAAUAGAAAUGUGCGGAUAUACUGAAAAUAAAUUGUGUGAAGAAUGUGAUUUAAGAUUUUAAGAGAAUUAAA